UCAGUCACCAUUUACCAAAUCUCCUUUUCUAAUUCCAGUAACAUAUUUAUUUUUUCCCUUUUCUUCUUCCUUUUCUCCAUGAACAUGAAAAGAAAGAAGCUUCUUCUCAAUGAAAAAGUAGAGGUUCGGCAAUUUGAGGAAGGGCUGCGAGGCUCAUGGCACCCCGGAGUGGUUGUUAGUGUCUCCAAGUUCUGCCGUUCUGUUGAAUAUGAUGAACUCUUGUCUGAAACAGGGAACUCGAAGCUCAUUGAGUCCAUCACUGUCACAGAGGCAAUUGAAGGGAUUCAUUGUCGCCGUCCAGCUCCAUCAGCAUAUCGCGGGCGCAUUCGACCUCUGCCUGAAUCAUCUGAUACUUGUGAAAAGUUAUCUUUUGGGGUCUGUGUUGAUGCCUUGUUUGAGGAUGCAUGGUGGGAAGGUAUAGUAUUUGAUUGUCAUGAUGAUGCAGAUGAACGUUUAGUCUUUUUUCCUGAUGAGGGUGAUGAAAAGAAAUUUAGUGUGAGUCAAUUACGUAUAACUCGAGAUUGGGACGAGUUCUUGGGCAUUUGGUGUGACCGCGGUGUUUGGAUAUUGGUGCAAUUAGCCAUGGAGCUUGAAGGAGAAGUCUCCAAUUAUGUAAAAAAAAUUUGGUUAUACUUGCGGUUCAAUGAUGAGUUCAAUAAAUCGAUAUCAGAUUGGACUUGUGGUGUCCGAAAUGUGUGGAGGAAGUGCUUCAUGAAUUCUGCUAAUGACACUGGAGCUGAAUUCAGGCGGCAGGUUCUUGGUAAUCAAAGUUUGUCUAAUGUCAUAGAGAAAAAUGGAUAUAAAUUAAAAGACACCAGUCAUGAAAUGAUAACUUCAAGCUCGUCCUUAUCUUCUCGUAAGGAAAAAAAAAAUGGUCCUUUGACCAUUGAUGGAUCAAGCCAAAAUAUAGAAGAGAAAGAUUCUCCUCCUCAAUGCAGUAGGAGGCCUUUGGAAGUAAGAUAUAGGUCAAUUAAGCAAAUAUUAACAAAUAUGACUGUUUCUAUAUCUUCUAUGCCUACACAUGAUAAGCAGUCUGCUAAAAUUAAAUCAGUUGAAGACAAGGCAACAUCUGAAGGUGAUGAGAAUGGAUGCUUUCUUGGCUGUUCUAAACAAGAGAAGAUUGAUCAUAUUAGAGGAAGGAGAAAUUUGACCAAGUCUAGACGAAUGACAAGAACUCUUGCUGACCGCAGCCAAAAGGUACUGAGAAAGAGUCCUCUGCAUGAUAUUCUUCCUGAGCAGAGAAAGCACUCAUCAACGAAGAUAAGGGUAUCAAAACAAUUUCAACAGGCAGGUUCAGAAUUUAAGCCUCGAUCCAAGGUCAAGGUGGAAGAGGUGUUAGAUGCCAUUAAAGCAACUAAAAAUAUGUUGUCUCAACCAGGGAAGCGUAAAAGGAAAAGGAGAAAUUCUAGCUUAAGUGACACCAUAUGUAGUUUUUGUCACUAUGGGGGAGAUCUUAUUCUCUGUGACAAAUGCCCUUCUACAUUUCAUUUGGGCUGUCUUGAACUUAAGGAUGUCCCACUUGAGAACUGGUUUUGUCCAUCAUGCUGCUGUAAACUUUGUGGUAAAGGUGACUCUUCAACUUCCACAAAUGCUUGUUUGCAGUGUGCCCGAGCAUAUCAUGUACAUUGCCUGACUAAAGAUGGAUGUCUGCUUCCUACAGACUAUCCAUCAGAGAACUUUUGCAGCAAGUCUUGCUAUGAGCUAUGUGCCCAACUUCAUCAACUUUUGGGAAUUUCGAAUCCCACCUCUGUGGAUGGCUUGACCUGGACAUUAACAAGAUCAUCUAAAGAUGUUUACAAUUUUCCUGGUAUGCCAAGAAGUAGUACCCACGUCAAAUCAUUUCAAAUUCUCAGGGUUAUGCACGAGUGUUUUAGAUCUGUUAAAGAGCCUCAUACCCAGAAGGAUAUGGUUACAGAUCUGAUUUACAAUUCAGGGUCUAAAUUUAAAAGGUUGAACUUUCAUGGAUUUUAUGCUGUCGUUUUGAAUAGAGGUGAUCAAAUUGUAUCUGUUGCCACUUUGAGAAUCCAUGGACUAAAGGCUGCAGAGAUGCCCCUAGUUGCUACACCCUUCAAUUUUCGUCGACAGGGAAUGUGCCGACUUCUCAUGCAGGAGGUGUUGAAGUUGCUCAACAAAUUUCGUGUUGAGAGAUUAAUCUUGCCGGCAAUACCUCAGUUGAGAAAGAUGUGGGAAGCUUCCUUUGGAUUUUCAGAAAUGCCGCUUUCAGAAAGGCAACAACUUUCAGGCUACUCAUUCGUGGGAUUUCAGGGGACUAUGAUGCUGCAGAAUGUUCUUACAAGCUCUAGGAUAACACUGGAAAUAAACGCAAAUUCAGAAGGAAUGUCUCAAGAUUUGGAAGGAAAUUCAUCUCGUAUAUUUCUGGAGUGUAAUUAUGUGCCUAAUGACGAGAGUAGAUUCUCUGGCAUAGUUUAUGAGCACAAGGAAAAGGGAAAAAUUAUCGGCAAGGAAAAUAAUUUCAAUGCUGCAAUGUGAAAAGAAUGAAUGCUCAAGGCUACAAGCGAAGGCGUGUUCUGGUCUGGAGAGGCUGAAGAAACAAUGGUACUUAGUCAUGGGCUAUUUGGUUGGAACUUGGGUACAAGGUUAUUCCUUUCUUUCAGAAGAAAGCUUCAUGCAGGCAUAAAAUGAAUUUCAUUCAAGGUAUAAAGAAUGACAAGAGAGUGAUGAGAAAGUGAAUGGCGUCUUGGACUAUAAUGCAUAUUUUCAACUAGUACACCAUGGAAUUUUCCCAGGUUACAUGGACAAUUUAGCAAGCUGACUAGAUGUGGAUCCUCUUAAUUGACCAUUUACUUCUGAAGAGAUUGUAGUAACCUUUAACUAGAUGUGCUCAGGGAAAGCUAUCAGGUCAAAAUGGUAUUUCUAUUUGUUUUUA